CUGCGGAAGGAUCAUUAUAAAUUGUAUUACACCCUUCUAGGCACAAACUCGAAAUCGUCUUCAAACACUUUAUUAAAAAACUUUCAACAACGGAUCUCUUGGUUCUCGCAUCGAUGAAGAACGCAGCGAAUUGCGAUACGUAAUAUGACUUGCAGACGUGAAUCAUUGAAUCUUUGAACGCACAUUGCGCCUCGGGGUAUUCCCCAAGGCAUGCGCCGAUGAGUGGUGGUAUCCUCAGGCCCCCGGCUUGGUCUUUCUACUACCAGAUAUAAGCUACUUAUCCCAACCCCCCCUCAUCGCCGCAAGACUACCCGCUGAACUUAAGCAUAUCAAUAAGCGGAGGAAAAGAAACCAACAGGGAUUGCCUCAGUAACGGCGAGUGAAGCGGCAAAAGCUCAAAUUUGAAAGCCUCGGCAUUGUAAUUUGAAAAGCCCCCACACACAUUAUACCACGUCAAGUCCAUUGGAAAAUGGCGCCGCAGAGGGUGACAGCCCCGUAGACUGCCGUAUAAUUACCUCGUGGUGGCUUCAAGAGUCGAGUUGUUUGGGAUUGCAGCUCUAACGGUGGUAAAUUCCAUCAAAAGCUAAAUACUGGCGAGAGACCGAUAGCGAACAAGUACAGUGAUGGAAAGAUGAAAAGCACUUUGAAAAGAGAGUGAAAAAGUACGUGAAAUUGUUGAAAGGGAAGGGCUUGCUCGGCUGCGGAGGUCGGGGAAAAGGAGGCCAAAACAAGCAAGGAAUGUAACUCUCGAGUAUUAUAUCCUCGCCCACACCCUCACUUCUCCCCGUG
rnacentral:rRNA from 1 species